UACGGAGGGUGCAAGCGUUAUCCGGAUUCACUGGGUUUAAAGGGUGCGUAGGAGGGUAGGUAAGUCAGGGGUGAAAUCUUCGAGCUUAACUCGGAAACUGCCGUUGAUACUAUCUAUCUUGAAUACCGUGGAGGUGAGCGGAAUAUGUCAUGUAGCGGUGAAAUGCUUAGAUAUGACAUAGAACACCAAUUGCGAAGGCAGCUCGCUACACGAAUAUUGACUCUGAGGCACGAAAGCGUGGGGAUCAAACAGG
rnacentral:rRNA from 1 species